AGAGUUUGAUCAUGGCUCAGGAUGAACGCUGGCGGCGUGCCUAAUACAUGCAAGUCGAACGGGGGUGCAGCAAUGUACCCUAGUGGCGACCGGGUGCGUAACACGUAGCUGACCUACCCCGGCGCGGGGGACAACAGGCCGAAAGGUCUGCUAAUACCGCAUAGCCCACAGGGCGUUAAAGAACCUGUGGGAAACUUCCGGGGCGCCGGGUGGGGGCUGCGGCCCAUCAGGUAGUUGGUAGGGUAGUGGCCUACCAAGCCGACGACGGGUAGGGGGCCUGAGAGGGUGGUCCCCCACACUGGGACUGACAGACGGCCCAGACUCCUACGGGAGGCAGCAGUAAGGGAUAUUGCGCAAUGGGCGAAAGCCUGACGCAGCAACGCCGCGUGGAGGAUGACGGCCUUCGGGUUGUAAACUCCUUUGGACGGGGACGAGCAAGGACGGUACCCGUCAAACAAGUCACGGCUAACUACGUGCCAGCCGCCGCGGUAAUAC
rnacentral:rRNA from 1 species